UGUGUAGGUGGCCGUGAAGGUCGGAUGUGAAAGCCCCGGGCUCAACCCGGGAAGUGCACCCGAAACCGCAUGGCUUGAGUACCGGAGAGGUUGGUGGAAUUCUCGGUGUAGAGGUGAAAUUCGUAGAUAUCGAGAGGAACACCGGUGGCGAAGGCGGCCAACUGGACGAGUACUGACGCUGAGACACGAAAGCGUGGGGAGCAAACAGGAUUAGAUACCCUGGUAGUCCACGCCGUAAACGAUGGGUGCUAGGUGUCACGGGCUUUGACUCCUGUGGUGCCGUAGCCAACGCAUUAAGCACCCCGCCUGGGAAGUACGGCCGCAAGGCUAAA
rnacentral:rRNA from 1 species